rnacentral:rRNA from 1 species
GAUGAACGCUGGCGGCGUGCCUAACACAUGCAAGUCGAGCGAACGGACGCUGCUCUUGCUUUUCUGUUGUUAGCCGCGCACGUGUGAGUAACGUGUGUAUACCCUCCCUAUAUUACUGGUAUAAUUUCGGGACACCGGCUCUUAUCCCGUAUAAUCUUUUGCUCCGCAUUGUUCAUAGGUGAAUUACGGUCUUGCUGUCUCUUAUCGCUGCAUCCCCGCUUCAUUAGCUAGUUGUUACGGUCACGGCUUACCACGGCAACCAUGCAUAGCCGACCUGAUAGAGUGAUAGGCGACACGAGAACUGAGACACGGUCCAGACUACUACGGGAGGCAGCAGUAGGGAAUCUGACGCAAUGGGCGAAAGCAUGACGGAGCAACGCCGCGUGAGUGACGAAGGUCUUCGGAUCGGAAAAAUCGGUUACUAGGGAAGAACAGAUGUGGAAGGAAAUGUGCACAGCUUGACGGUAAUUAAUCAGAAAGCAACGGCUAACUACGUG